GGUGAACGCUGGCGGCGUGCUUAAGACAUGCAAGUCGAACGCAGUCUUCGGACUUAGUGGCGGACGGGUGAGUAACACGUGGGAACGUGCCUUUAGGUUCGGAAUAACUCAGGGAAACUUGUGCUAAUACCGAAUGUGCCCUUCGGGGGAAAGAUUUAUCGCCUUUAGAGCGGCCCGCGUCUGAUUAGCUAGUUGGUGAGGUAAAGGCCCACCAAGGCGACGAUCGUUAGCUGGUCUGAGAGGACGAUCAGCCACACUGGGACUGAGACACGGCCCAGACUCCUACGGGAGGCAGCAGUGGGGAAUAUUGGACAAUGGGGGCAACCCUGAUCCAGCCAUGCCGCGUGAGUGAUGAAGGCCUUCGGGUUGUAAAGCUCUUUUGGCGGGGACGAUGAUGACGGUACCCGCAGAAUAAGCCCCGGCUAACUUCGUGCCAGCCGCCGCCGUAAGAC
rnacentral:rRNA from 1 species